rnacentral:rRNA from 1 species
GAUGAACGCUAGCGGCGGGCUUAAUACAUGCAAGUCGAGGGGCAGCACGAUGUAGCAAUACAUUGGUGGCGACCGGCGGACGGGUGCGUAACACGUAUGCAACUUGCCCUAUACUGGGGGAUAGCCCGAAGAACUUCGGAUUAAUAACCCAUAACAUCAGGAUCAGCAUUGGUCUUGGUUCAAAACUCCGGUGGGAUAGGAUGGGCAUGCGGUCGAUUAGCUUGUUGGUGAGGUAACGGCUCACCAAGGCGACGAUCGAUAGGGGGCCUGAGAGGGUGAUCCCCCACACUGGUACUGGGACAAGGACCAGACUCCUACGGGAGGCAGCAGUAAGGAAUAUUGGUCAAUGGGCGAAAGCCUGAACCAGCCACGCCGCGUGAAGGAAGACGGCCCUAUGGGUUGUAAACUUCUUUUCUACGGGAAUAAACCUCAGGACGUGUCCUGAGCUGAAGGUAUCGUAGGAAUAAGGAUCGGCUAACUCCGUGCCAGCAGCCGCCGUAAGAC